UACUAAAGGAUAGCAGCAUUCCACUGGUCUUAGGCACCAAAAUCCUUGGUGCAA
rnacentral:tRNA from 1 species